CCCUGCCAUUUGUACACACCGCCCGUCGCACCUACCGAUUGAACGGUCCGAUGAAAUCCUGGGACGAUUUCGCGCUUGGGCUUUAUUGCUCGUGCGAGAUUGGAACUCGAGUGAAUCUUAUCGUUUAGAGGAAGGUGAAGUCGUAACAAG
rnacentral:rRNA from 1 species